rnacentral:rRNA from 1 species
CUGAGCCUACGGGGGGCAGCAGUGAGGAAUAUUGGUCAAUGGGCGGUAGCCUGAACCAGCCACGUAGCGUGAAGGAUGAAGGUUCUAUGGAUUGUAAACUUCUUUUAUAAAGGAAUAAAGUGAGGCACGUGUGCCUUUUUGUAUGUACUUUAUGAAUAAGGAUCGGCUAACUCCGUGCCAGCAGCCGCGGUAAUACGUAGGAUCCGAGCGUUAUCCGGAUUUAUUGGGUUUAAAGGGAGCGUAGAUGGGUCGUUAAGCCAGUUGUGAAAGUUUGCGGCUCAACCGUAAAAUUGCAAUUUAUACUG